AGAACGAACGCUGGCGGCGUGGAUAAGACAUGCAAGUCGAACGGAACUUGUCUUGUAGCAAUACAGGGCAGGUUCAGUGGCGCACGGGUGCGUAACGCGUGGGAAUCUGCCCUUAGGUUCGGAAUAACAGUUAGAAAUGACUGCUAAUACCGGAUAAUGACGUAAGUCCAAAGAUUUAUCGCCUAGGGAUGAGCCCGCGUAAGAUUAGCUAGUUGGUGGGGUAAAGGCCUACCAAGGCUACGAUCUUUAGCUGGUCUGAGAGGAUGAUCAGCCACACUGGGACUGAGACACGGCCCAGACUCCUACGGGAGGCAGCAGUGGGGGAAUAUUGGGACAAUGGGCGAAAGCCUGAUCCAGCAAUGCCGCGUGAGUGAUGAAGGCCUUAGGGUUGUAAAGCUCUUUUACCGGAUGAUAAUGACAGUACCGGAGAAUAAGCUCCGGCUAACUCCGUGCCAGCAGCCGC
rnacentral:rRNA from 1 species